rnacentral:rRNA from 1 species
GGCGAACGGGUGAGUAACACGUGAGUAACCUGCCCUUGACUCUGGGAUAAGCCUGGGAAACUGGGUCUAAUACCGGAUAUGACUCCUCAUCGCAUGGUGGGGGGUGGAAAGCUUUUGUGGUUUUGGAUGGACUCGCGGCCUAUCAGCUUGUUGGUGAGGUAAUGGCUUACCAAGGCGACGACGGGUAGCCGGCCUGAGAGGGUGACCGGCCACACUGGGACUGAGACACGGCCCAG